AGAGUUUGAUCCUGGCUCAGAACGAACGCUGGCGGCGUGUCUAAUACAUGCAAGUCGUACGAGAAAGCCCGGCUUCGGUUGGGUGAGUAAAGUGGCAAACGGGUGAGUAACACGUGGGCAAUCUACCUUUCAGUUUGGGAUAAGCCUGGGAAACUGGGUCUAAUACCGAAUAAAAUCCUUGGGCGGCAUCGUCCGAAGAUCAAAGGCGGGGCAACCUGCCGCUGUUAGAUGAGCCCGCGCUCCAUUAGCUAGUUGGUAGGGUUACGGCCUACCAAGGCUUCGAUGGAUAGCCGGCCUGAGAGGGUGAUCGGCCACACUGGGACUGAGAUACGGCCCAGACUCCUACGGGAGGCAGCAGUAGGGAAUAUUGGGCAAUGGGCGCAAGCCUGACCCAGCGACGCCGCGUGGGUGAUGAAGAUCUUUGGAUCGUAAAACCCUGUCAGUGGGGAAGAACCGCACCAGAAGUUACUGUCUGGUGCCUGACGGUACCCACAGAGGAAGCUCCGGCUAACUCCGUGCCAGCAGCCGCGGUAAUACGGGGGGAGCGAGCGUUGUUCGGAUUCACUGGGCGUAAAGGGCGUGUAGGUGGGUCUUCAAGUCAUAUGUGAAAACCGACAGCUUAACUGUCGGCCUGCAUCUGAAACUGGGGACCUUGAGUACGGGAGAGGAAAGCGGAAUUCCUGGUGUAGCGGUGAAAUGCGUAGAUAUCAGGAGGAACACCGGUGGCGAAGGCGGCUUUCUGGCCCGAUACUGACACUGAGGCGCGAAGGCCGGGGGAGCAAACAGGAUUAGAUACCCUGGUAGUCCCGGCGGUAAACGAUGGGCACUAGGUGUUGGAGGUAUCGACCCCUCCAGUGCCGCAGCUAACGCAUUAAGUGCCCCGCCUGGGGAGUACGGCCGCAAGGCUGAAACUCAAAGGAAUUGACGGGGGCCCGCACAAGCGGUGGAGUAUGUGGUUUAAUUCGAAGCAACGCGCAGAACCUUACCUGGGCUUGACAUGUACCGGACCGGGGCUGAAAAGUCCCUUUCCCUUCGGGGACCGGUGCACAGGUGCUGCAUGGCUGUCGUCAGCUCGUGCCGUGAGGUGUUGGGUUAAGUCCCGCAACGAGCGCAACCCCUGUCCUUAGUUGCCAUCAGGUUAUGCUGGGCACUCUAGGGAGACUGCUGGUGAUAAGCUGGAGGAAGGUGGGGACGACGUCAAGUCCUCAUGGCCCUUACGCCCAGGGCUACACACGUACUACAAUGGCCGGUACAGAGGGCUGCAAGAUCGCGAGAUGGAGCAAAUCCUUAAAACCGGUCUCAGUUCAGAUUGGAGUCUGCAACUCGACUCCAUGAAGGUGGAAUCGCUAGUAAUCGCGGAUCAGCAGGUCGCGGUGAAUACGUUCCCGGGCCUUGUACACACCGCCCGUCAAGCCACGGAAGCUGGGGGUACCCGAAGUCGUUUGCCUAACCGCAAGGAGGGCGGCGCCGAAGGUAAAACCAGUGACUGGGGCUAAGUCGUAACAAGGUA
rnacentral:rRNA from 1 species